rnacentral:rRNA from 1 species
GGUUAAGCGACUAAGCGUACACGGUGGAUGCCCUGGCAGUCAGAGGCGAUGAAGGACGUGCUAAUCUGCGAAAAGCGUCGGUAAGGUGAUAUGAACCGUUAUAGCCGGCGAUGUCCGAAUGGGGAAACCCAGUGCAAUUCGUUGCACUAUCGUUAACUGAAUACAUAGGUUAACGAGGCGAACCGGGGGAACUGAAACAUCUAAGUACCCCGAGGAAAAGAAAUCAACCGAGAUUCCCCCAGUAGCGGCGAGCGAACGGGGAGCAGCCCAGAGUCUGAAUCAGCUUGUGUGUUAGUGGAACGGUCUGGAAAGUCCGACGGUACAGGGUGAUAGUCCCGUACACCAAAAUGCACAGGUUGUGAACUCGAAGAGUAGGGCGGGACACGUGGUAUCCUGUCUGAAUAUGGGGGGACCAUCCUCCAAGGCUAAAUACUCCUGACUGACCGAUAGUGAACCAGUACCGUGAGGGAAAGGCGAAAAGAACCCCGGCGAGGGGAGUGAAAAAGAACCUGAAACCGUGUACGUACAAGCAGUGGGAGCACCUUCGGGUGUGACUGCGUACCUUUUGUAUAAUGGGUCAGCGACUUAUAUUCUGUAGCAAGGUUAACCGUAUAGGGGAGCCGCAGGGAAACCGAGUCUUAACUGGGCGUUAAGUUGCAGGGUAUAGACCCGAAACCCGGUGAUCUAGCCAUGGGCAGGUUGAAGGUUGGGUAACACUAACUGGAGGACCGAACCGACUAAUGUUGAAAAAUUAGCGGAUGACUUGUGGCUGGGGGUGAAAGGCCAAUCAAACCGGGAGAUAGCUGGUUCUCCCCGAAAGCUAUUUAGGUAGCGCCUCGUGAACUCAUCUUCGGGGGUAGAGCACUGUUUCGGCUAGGGGGUCAUCCCGACUUACCAACCCGAUGCAAACUACGAAUACCGAAGAAUGUUAUCACGGGAGACACACGGCGGGUGCUAACGUCCGUCGUGAAGAGGGAAACAACCCAGACCGCCAGCUAAGGUCCCAAAGUCAUGGUUAAGUGGGAAACGAUGUGGGAAGGCACAGACAGCCAGGAUGUUGGCUUAGAAGCAGCCAUCAUUUAAAGAAAGCGUAAUAGCUCACUGGUCGAGUCGGCCUGCGCGGAAGAUGUAACGGGGCUAAACCAUGCACCGAAGCUGCGGCAGCGACACUAUGUGUUGUUGGGUAGGGGAGCGUUCUGUAAGCCUGCGAAGGUGACCUGUGAGGGUUGCUGGAGGUAUCAGAAGUGCGAAUGCUGACAUAAGUAACGAUAAAGCGGGUGAAAAGCCCGCUCGCCGGAAGACCAAGGGUUCCUGUCCAACGUUAAUCGGGGCAGGGUGAGUCGACCCCUAAGGCGAGGCCGAAAGGCGUAGUCGAUGGGAAACAGGUUAAUAUUCCUGUACUUGGUGUUACUGCGAAGGGGGGACGGAGAAGGCUAUGUUAGCCGGGCGACGGUUGUCCCGGUUUAAGCAUGUAGGCUGAUUGUCCAGGCAAAUCCGGAUAAUCAAGGCUGAGGUGUGAUGACGAGGCACUACGGUGCUGAAGUAACAAAUGCCCUGCUUCCAGGAAAAGCCUCUAAGCAUCAGGUAACAUCAAAUCGUACCCCAAACCGACACAGGUGGUCAGGUAGAGAAUACCAAGGCGCUUGAGAGAACUCGGGUGAAGGAACUAGGCAAAAUGGUGCCGUAACUUCGGGAGAAGGCACGCUGGUGUGUAGGUGAAGUCCCUGCGGAUGGAGCUGAGACCAGUCGAAGAUACCAGCUGGCUGCAACUGUUUAUUAAAAACACAGCACUGUGCAAACACGAAAGUGGACGUAUACGGUGUGACGCCUGCCCGGUGCCGGAAGGUUAAUUGAUGGGGUUAUCCGUAAGGAGAAGCUCUUGAUCGAAGCCCCGGUAAACGGCGGCCGUAACUAUAACGGUCCUAAGGUAGCGAAAUUCCUUGUCGGGUAAGUUCCGACCUGCACGAAUGGCGUAAUGAUGGCCAGGCUGUCUCCACCCGAGACUCAGUGAAAUUGAACUCGCUGUGAAGAUGCAGUGUACCCGCGGCAAGACGGAAAGACCCCGUGAACCUUUACUAUAGCUUGACACUGAACAUUGAGCCUUGAUGUGUAGGAUAGGUGGGAGGCUUUGAAGCGUGGACGCCAGUCUGCGUGGAGCCAACCUUGAAAUACCACCCUUUAAUGUUUGAUGUUCUAACGUUGGCCCCUUACCGGGGUUGCGGACAGUGUCUGGUGGGUAGUUUGACUGGGGCGGUCUCCUCCCAAAGCGUAACGGAGGAGCACGAAGGUUAGCUAAUCCUGGUCGGACAUCAGGAGGUUAGUGCAAUGGCAUAAGCUAGCUUGACUGCGAGCGUGACGGCGCGAGCAGGUGCGAAAGCAGGUCAUAGUGAUCCGGUGGUUCUGAAUGGAAGGGCCAUCGCUCAACGGAUAAAAGGUACUCCGGGGAUAACAGGCUGAUACCGCCCAAGAGUUCAUAUCGACGGCGGUGUUUGGCACCUCGAUGUCGGCUCAUCACAUCCUGGGGCUGAAGUAGGUCCCAAGGGUAUGGCUGUUCGCCAUUUAAAGUGGUACGCGAGCUGGGUUUAGAACGUCGUGAGACAGUUCGGUCCCUAUCUGCCGUGGGCGCUGGAGAAUUGAGGGGGGCUGCUCCUAGUACGAGAGGACCGGAGUGGACGCAUCACUGGUGUUCGGGUUGUCAUGCCAAUGGCACUGCCCGGUAGCUAAAUGCGGAAGAGAUAAGUGCUGAAAGCAUCUAAGCACGAAACUUGCCCCGAGAUGAGUUCUCCCUGAGACUUUAAGUCUCCUGAAGGAACGUUGAAGACGACGACGUUGAUAGGCCGGGUGUGUAAGCGCAGCGAUGCGUUGAGCUAACCGGUACUAAUGAACCGUGAGGCUUAACCUU